rnacentral:rRNA from 1 species
GUGGGGAAUAUUGGACAAUGGGCGAAAGCCUGAUCCAGCCAUGCCGCGUGUGUGAAGAAGGUCUUCGGAUUGUAAAGCACUUUAAGUUGGGAGGAAGGGCAGUAAGUUAAUACCUUGCUGUUUUGACGUUACCAACAGAAUAAGCACCGGCUAACUUCGUGCCAGCAGCCGCGGUAAUACGAAGGGUGCAAGCGUUAAUCGGAAUUACUGGGCGUAAAGCGCGCGUAGGUGGUUCAGCAAGUUGGAGGUGAAAUCCCCGGGCUCAACCUGGGAACUGACUCCAAAACUACUGAGCUAGAGUACGGUAGAGGGUAGUGGAAUUUCCUGUGUAGCGGUGAAAUGCGUAGAUAUAGGAAGGAACACCAGUGGCGAAGGCGACUACCUGGACUGAUACUGACACUGAGGUGCGAAAGCGUGGGGAGCAAACAGGAUUAGAAACCCGUGUAGUCC